UGCUGCUGCAUCAUCAUCAUCGCCGCCGCUGGUGGA
rnacentral:sRNA from 1 species